CGAGCCGGGCGGACGGCCGCGUGGGCCCCUUCGGGGACCCCCGAGGAACGUCCGGGCUCCACAGGGCAGGGUGAUGGCCAACAGCCACCCGGGGUGACCCGCGGGACAGUGCCACAGAAAACAGACCGCCGGAGGCUUCGGCCCCCGGUAAGGGUGAAACGGUGGUGUAAGAGACCACCAGUGCCCGAGGCGACUCGGGCAGCUAGGUAAACCCCACCCGGAGCAAGGUCAAAAGGGACACCCCGGUGUUCCUGCGCGGACGUUCGAGGGCUGCCCGCCCGAGUCCGCGGGUAGACCGCACGAGGCCGGUGGCAACACCGGCCCUAGAUGGAUGGCCGUCGCCUCGGCACGCCGCAAGGCCCCCGAGGAACAGAACCCGGCGUACAGCCCGACUCGUCUG
rnacentral:RNase_P_RNA from 1 species